GAUGAAGAACGUAGCGAAAUGCGAUACGUAAUGUGAAUUGCAGAAUUCAGUGAAUCAUCGAGUCUUUGAACGCACAUUGCGCCCCCUGGUAUUCCGGGGGGCAUGCCUGUCCGAGCGUCAUUGCUGCCCUCAAGCACGGCUUGUGUGUUGGGCCUCCGUCCUCCUCCCGGGGGACGGGCCCGAAAGGCAGCGGAGGCACCGCGUCCGGUCCUCGAGCGUAUGGGGCUUCGUCACCCGCUCUUGUAGGCCCGGCCGGCGCUUGCCGACACAUCAAUCUUUUUUCCAGGUUGACCUCGGAUCAGGUAGGGAUACCCGCUGAACUUAAGCAUAUCAAUAAGCGGAGGA
rnacentral:misc_RNA from 1 species